CAUAGUCAAAGUCUGAAGGCCAUUGGUACAGAAAUAUAUACACGUACACCAUGGGGUCAAACUCUUUGUUUACAGAGAGCUUAAGGAAUGCAGACUAGCUAUGAUAUUCAACAGUUCUCGUACAUGCCAGGCUGAAAACCUGGGACAUCUCUCUGAUUUGAUAAUCACAUUCUUGAGACGUUCAAUCUAGAAAGGAACACUGCUGAGCUGAAAGUGUCUGCGGGUGAGUGAAUAAAGAUCUCUUUUGAAGGCGUGUGGCUCUCUGUACACUCAGUCUCUCCCUCUU
rnacentral:lncRNA from 9 species